AACAUGGCUCAGGAUGAACGCUAGCGGCAGGCUUAACACAUGCAAGUCGAGGGGCAGCAUGAAAGUAGCAAUACUUUUGAUGGCGACCGGCGGACGGGUGCGUAACGCGUAUGCAACCUACCCUUUACAGGGGGAUAACACUGAGAAAUCGGUACUAAUACCCCAUAAUAUUCCGGGAGGCAUCUUUCGGAGUUGAAAGCUUUGGUGGUAAAGGAUGGGCAUGCGUUGUAUUAGCUAGUUGGUAAGGUAACGGCUU
rnacentral:rRNA from 1 species